UUACCCUUGCGCGCUGAUGGUUCCCGGAGACGGGAUCAAAUGGGAACGCAGUAGCGGCAGCGAUGCCGUCGAUCUGCGGCUGCCCCCGCAACUGUGAGCGGCGAGUC
rnacentral:ncRNA from 2 species